AACGAACGCUGGCGGCAUGCCUAACACAUGCAAGUCGAACGAGAGCUUCGGGCCUGGUGGCGCACGGGUGCGUGACGCGGGGGGACAUGCCCUUAGGUUCGGAAUGACGCCGCGGAAGGGGUGCUGAUACGGGAGAAUGUAUUCCGACCGAAGGUUUAUCGCCUUUGGGUGGGCCUGCGUUGGCUUAGCUUGUUGGUAGGGUAAAAGCCUACCAAGGGGACGAUGGAUAGCUGGUUUGCGAGGAAGAUCAGCGACACUGGGACGGAGGCACGGCCCAGAAUCCUGCGGGAGGCAGGAGUGGGGAAUAUUGGAAAAUGGGCGGUAGCAUGAAGCAGCAAUGACGCGUGAGCGAUGAAGGCCUUAGGGUUGUACAGCUCUUUUACCCGGGAUGAUAAUGACGGUACCGGGAGAAUAAGCUCCGGCUAACUCCGUG
rnacentral:rRNA from 1 species